UACGAAUGUGGCAAGCGUUGUUCGGAAUCACUGGGCGUAAAGAAUGCGUAGGCGGCUUAGCAAGUCAGGAGUGAAAUCCCAGGGCUCAACCUUGGAACUGCUCUUGAAACUGCUUUGCUAGAGUCCCGGAGGGGUUGGCGGAAUUCCGAGUGUAGAGGUGAAAUUCGCAGAUAUUCGGAGGAACACCAGUGGCGAAGGCGGCCAACUGGACGGGAACUGACGCUGAGGCAUGAAAGUGUGGGGAGCAAACAGG
rnacentral:rRNA from 1 species